rnacentral:rRNA from 1 species
GCUCAAAUUUGAAAUCCUACUGGUUUCCAGUAUGAAUUGUAGUUUAAAGAAAUGUUUUCGAAGACAACCCAGGAUCAAGUCUCUUGGGAUGGAGCAUCAUAGAAGGUGAGAAUCCUGUAUGUGUUCUGGGAGUUGUUUUUAUGUGAUACAUUUUCAAAGAGUCAGGUUGUUUGGGAAUGCAGCCUAAAAUGGGAGGUAAAUACCUUCUAAAGCUAAAUAUUGGCGAGAGACCGAUAGCGAACAAGUACCGUGAGGGAAAGAUGAAAAGAACUUUGAAAAGAGAGUUAAAAGUACGUGAAAUUGUCAAAAGGGAAACACUUGAAACCAGUCUUGCAUUUAAAAUCCCAACCAAUCUAACGAUUGGUAUAUGUUUUUAAUUGCAGGUCAAUAUCAGUUUUUUUUGGAGUACAAAACCUGAGGAAGGUAGCUAGCAAUAGUGUUAUAGCUUCAGGUAAUGCUCUGAAAAAGACUGAGGAACGCAGCGCAGUCUUGGGUACCCUGUCGCUAGUUGAUGAAUCUUUGCAGAAUACUUGUAUACUGUAAAGAUUAUAAGGCUAAUCGGCGGGUUUGCCACACCUGUGCUUAGGAUAUUGACAUAAUGGUUUUAAAUGACCCGUCUUGAAACACGGACCAAGGAGUCUAACACAUAUGCGAGUUUUUGGGUGGUAAACCCGAGAAGCGUAAUGAAAGUAUUAAGGUGGGAAUCGCAAGAUGCACCAUCGACCGGUCUGGAUAUUUAUUGAUAGAUCUGAGUAAGAGCAUAUUUGUUAGGACCCGAAAGAUGGUGAACUAUGCCUGAAUAGGGUGAAGCCAGAGG